rnacentral:rRNA from 1 species
UAUUUUAAUUUGUGCAGCAGCCGCGGUAAUACGUAGGGUGCGAGCGUUAAUCGGAAUUACUGGGCGUAAAGGGUGCGCAGGCGGUUGAGUAAGACAGAUGUGAAAUCCCCGAGCUUAACUCGGGAAUGGCAUAUGUGACUGCUCGACUAGAGUGUGUCAGAGGGAGGUGGAAUUCCACGUGUAGCAGUGAAAUGCGUAGAUAUGUGGAAGAACACCGAUGGCGAAGGCAGCCUCCUGGGACAUAACUGACGCUCAGGCACGAAAGCGUGGGGAGCAAACAGG